GUCUACGGCCAUACCACCCUGAACGCGCCCGAUCUCGUCUGAUCUCGGAAGCUAAGCAGGGUCGGGCCUGGUUAGUACUUGGAUGGGAGAAAAAGUUCUCUAUGGCCCCGUGGUAGAAAUGGAGCAGUCUCUU
ensembl:rRNA 5S_rRNA 5S ribosomal RNA